GACGGAGGAUGCAAGCGUUAUCCGGAAUGAUUGGGCGUAAAGCGUCCGCAGGUGGCAGUUCAAGUCUGCUGUCAAAGACCGGGGCUUAACUUCGGAAAGGCAGUGGAAACUGAACAGCUAGAGUAUGGUAGGGGCAGAGGGAAUUCCUGGUGUAGCGGUGAAAUGCGUAGAGAUCAGGAAGAACAUCGGUGGCGAAGGCAGGUCUCUGGGCUGACACUGACGCUCAUGCACGAAAGCGUGGGGAGCAAACAGG
rnacentral:rRNA from 1 species